GCCGAAACCUCAAAAUAUAGAAAUUUUUUCCGGCGACCAAUUCCGGCGAACCAACACCUAAAAUUUAUUCCCCACAUCCUCUUGAGUAAGGUGGCGAAGCACCUCCAAAGGGAAGGAAACCGCCAAUCAGUGUGCGAGUCUCCAUGCGAGGCAACAUGUCUUGUUUUAGUGGUUUUGGUCGUCAUAGCGAGGCGAAGUGCUUGGCAAUUUGUAUCCCGAGUCAGGUUGUUUGUUUACUCUUAAUCAGGUUGCAUUGUAUGAGUGCAGUGGAUCCACUAGUGUUAUUAACUCUGUAAAUGUGAUUUGUAUAUCUUUCACUUUA